ACGAACGCUGGCGGCGUGCUUAACACAUGCAAGUCGAACGGGCCUGUCUUCUUUUUUGGGGGGUGGGUUGAGUGGCGAACGGGUGAGUAUCACGUGAGUAACCUGCCCUUCGGUCCUGGAUAACCGCUUGAAAGGGCGGCUAAUACGGGGUGGUCCGGUUGGUCCGCAUGGGCUGGUCGGGAUAGAUUCACUGUUUUUGGUGUUUCGGCGGGGGAUGGGCUCGCGGCCUAUCAGCUUGUUGGUGGGGUGAUGGCCUACCGAGGCGGUGACGGGUAGCCGGCCGGAGGGGGGGGGCGGCCACACUGGGACUGGGAUACGGCCCAGAGUCCUGCGGGAGGCAGCAGUGGGGGGUAUUGCACAAGGGGCGGAAGCCUGAUGCAGCGACGUCGGGUGAGGGAUGGAGGCCUUCGGGUUGUGAACCUCUGUUUCCGGUGGUGAAGGCCCUGUCCGUGUGGUGGGGUUGACGGUAGCCGGGGAUGAAGCGCCGGCUAACUACGUG
rnacentral:rRNA from 1 species